rnacentral:rRNA from 1 species
UGCAGUCGACGAUGAUGCCCAGCUUGCUGGGUUGAUUAGUGGCGAACGGGUGAGUAACACGUGAGUAACCUGCCCCUGACUCUGGGAUAAGCGUUGGAAACGACGUCUAAUACUGGAUAUGAUCGCCGGCCGCAUGGUCUGGUGGUGGAAAGAUUUUUUGGUUGGGGAUGGACUCGCGGCCUAUCAGCUUGUUGGUGAGGUAAUGGCUCACCAAGGCGACGACGGGUAGCCGGCCUGAGAGGGUGACCGGCCACACUGGGACUGAGACACGGCCCAGACUCCUACGGGAGGCAGCAGUGGGGAAUAUUGCACAAUGGGCGAAAGCCUGAUGCAGCAACGCCGCGUGAGGGAUGACGGCCUUCGGGUUGUAAACCUCUUUUAGUAGGGAAGAAGCGAAAGUGACGGUACCUGCAGAAAAAGCACCGGCUAACUACGUGCCAGCAGCCGCGGUAAUACGUAGGGUGCAAGCGUUGUCCGGAAUUAUUGGGCGUAAAGAGCUCGUAGGCGGUUUGUCGCGUCUGCUGUGAAAUCCCGAGGCUCAACCUCGGGCUUGCAGUGGGUACGGGCAGACUAGAGUGCGGUAGGGGAGAUUGGAAUUCCUGGUGUAGCGGUGGAAUGCGCAGAUAUCAGGAGGAACACCGAUGGCGAAGGCAGAUCUCUGGGCCGUAACUGACGCUGAGGAGCGAAAGCAUGGGGAGCGAACAGGAUUAGAUACCCUGGUAGUCCAUGCCGUAAACGUUGGGCGCUAGAUGUAGGGACCUUUCCACGGUUUCUGUGUCGUAGCUAACGCAUUAAGCGCCCCGCCUGGGGAGUACGGGCCGCAAGGCUAAAACUCAAAAGGAAUUGACGGGGGGCCCGCACA